ACGGAGAGGGCAAGCGUUGUUCGGAUUUAUUGGGCGUAAAGCGCGCGUAGGCGGUAUGGUAAGUCGGAUGUUAAAGACCCCCUUCUCCCCCGGGCCAAUGCGUCCGAUACUGCCGUACUGGAGUACGGGAGAGGGAAGUGGAAUUCCUGGUGUAGCGGUGAAAUGCGUAGAUAUCAGGAGGAACACCUGUGGCGAAGGCGGCUUCCUGGCCCGUAACUGACGCUGAGGCGCGAAAGCGUGGGGAGCGAACGG
rnacentral:rRNA from 1 species